GACGAACGCUGGCGGCGUGCUUAACACAUGCAAGUCGAACGGUAAGGCCCUUCGGGGUACACGAGUGGCGAACGGGUGAGUAACACGUGGGUGAUCUGCCCUGCACUUCGGGAUAAGCCUGGGAAACUGGGUCUAAUACCGGAUAGGACUCCGGACUGCAUGGUCUGGGGUGGAAAGCUUUUGCGGUGUGGGAUGGGCCCGAGGCCUAUCAGCUUGUUGGUGGGGUGAUGGCCUACCAAGGCGACGACGGGUAGGCGGCCUGGGAGGGUGACCGGGCCCACUGGCACUGGGGUAGGGCCCAGACUGCUACGGGAGGCAGGAGUAGGAAAUAUUGGACGAAGGGCGCAAGCCUGACGCAAGGACGCCGCGUUAUGGAUGACGGCCUUCGGGUUGUAAACCUCUUUCAGCAGCGACGAAGCGAAAGUGACGGUAGGUGCAGAAGAAGGACCGGCCAACUACGUGCCAGCCGCCGCAGUAA
rnacentral:rRNA from 1 species